rnacentral:rRNA from 1 species
AUGGGCAGCAACCAUGAGGCGCACCACGAGGACUUCCAGCUCAAGGACACGAACCCGCUGCUGGGCGAGCAAUGGCCCAAGGGCGCGGCGGGGCCGGCGCGGCCCGCCGUGGGCGGCGGCAUCGCGGGGUGGCUGGGCAUGGACAAGCCGUCCAGCACGUACGACCUGGUGGAGCAGAUGUUCUUCCUCUACGUGCGCGUGGUGAAGGCCAAGGACCUGCCCCCCAACCCCAUCACCGGCGCGCCCAUGGACCCCUACGUGGAGGUGAAGCUGGGCAACUACAAGGGCACCACCAAGCACCGCACCAACCCAGAGUGGGACCAGGUCUUCGCCUUCUCCAAGUCCCGCGUCCAGUCCAACGCUCUCGAGGUCUACCUCAAGGACCGCGACAUGCUCGGCCGCGACGACUACGUCGGCCGCGUCCUCUUCGACCUCGCCGAGGUGCCCACCCGCGUGCCGCCCGACAGCCCGCUCGCCCCGCAGUGGUACCGCCUCGAGCAGCGCCGCGGCGGCGACGCCGGCUACAAGGUGCGCGGGGAGCUCAUGCUCGCCGUCUGGAUCGGCACCCAGGCCGACGAGGCCUUCCCCGAGGCCUGGCACUCGGACGCCGCCACCGUGCGCGGCGAGGGCGUCGCCAGCGUCCGCUCCAAGGCCUACGUCUCGCCCAAGCUCUGGUACCUCCGCGUCAACGUCAUCGAGGCGCAGGACGUGCAGCCGCAGUCCCGCGGCCGCGCCCCCGAGGUCUUCGUCAAGGCGCAGGUCGGCAACCAGAUCCUCAAGACCUCCGUCGUGCCCGCCGCCACGCUCAACCCGCGCUGGAACGAGGACCUGCUCUUCGUCGUCGCCGAGCCGUUCGAGGAGCAGCUGGUGAUGACGGUCGAGGACCGGGUGUCGCCGCGCAAGGACGACCUCCUCGGCCGCGUCCAGCUCCCGCUCACGCUCUUCGAGAAGCGCCUCGACCACCGCCCGUUCGUGCAGUCCCGGUGGUUCGACCUCGAGAAGUUCGGCAUCGGGGGCGCCAUCGAGGGCGAGACACGGCGGGAGCUCCGCUUCGCCAGCCGCGUCCACGUCCGAGCCUGCCUCGAGGGCGCGUACCACGUCAUGGACGAGUCCACCAUGUACAUCAGCGACACCCGCCCCACGGCGCGGCAGCUCUGGAAGCCGCCCGUCGGCGUGCUCGAGGUCGGCAUCCUCAGCGCCAUCGGCCUGCAGCCGAUGAAAAAACUGGAAGGCCGGGGAAGCACCGACGCCUACUGCGUCGCCAAGUAUGGGCAGAAGUGGGUGCGCACGCGCACCAUGAUCGGCACCUUCAGCCCGACGUGGAACGAGCAGUACACGUGGGAGGUGUUCGACCCCAGCACCGUCAUCACCAUCGGCGUCUUCGACAACUGCCACCUCGGCGGCGGCAACGGAAACAACGGCGGAGGAGGUGCAGGAGGAGGAGGAGGGCCUCCGGCGAGGGACGCACGCAUCGGCAAGAUCCGCAUCCGCCUGUCCACGCUGGAAACCGACCGUGUGUACACGCACGCGUACCCGCUGAUCCUGCUGACGCCGUCGGGGGUGAAGAAGAUGGGCGAGCUCCGGCUGGCCGUGCGCUUCACCUGCCUCUCCAUGAUGAACAUGGUGCACCUCUACACGCAGCCGCUGCUCCCCAAGAUGCACUACCUGCACCCCUUCACGGUCACGCAGCUCGACGCGCUCCGCUACCAGGCCAUGGGCAUCGUGGCGGCGCGGCUGGGCCGCGCGGAGCCGCCGCUGCGGCGGGAGGUGGUGGAGUACAUGCUGGACGUGGAGUCCCACAUGUGGAGCAUGCGCCGGAGCAAGGCCAACUUCUUCCGCGCCGUCUCGCUCUUCUCCGGCGCCGCCGCCGCCGCGCGCUGGUUCGCCGAUGUCUGCCACUGGAAGAAUGUGGCCACCACCGCGCUCGUCCACGUCCUCCUCCUCAUCCUCAUCUGCUACCCGGAGCUCAUCCUCCCCACCGUCUUCCUCUACAUGUUCAUGAUCGGGCUCUGGAACUACCGCCGCCGCCCGCGCCACCCUCCCCACAUGGACACCAAGAUGUCCUGGGCCGAGGCCGUGCACCCGGACGAGCUCGACGAGGAGUUCGACACCUUCCCGACGUCCAGGCAGCAGGACGUCGUCUACAUGCGCUACGACCGGCUGCGCAGCGUCGCCGGCAGGAUACAGACCGUCGUCGGCGACAUGGCCACGCAGGGGGAGCGGCUGCAGUCGCUGCUCAGCUGGCGCGACCCCAGGGCGUCCUGCCUCUUCGUCUUCUUCUGCCUCAUCGCCGCGGUCGUGCUCUACGUCACGCCGUUCCGGGUCGUCGCGCUCGUCGCCGGGCUCUUCCUGCUCCGGCACCCGCGGUUCCGAACCAAGCUGCCCGCCGUGCCAAGCAACUUCUUCCGGCGACUGCCGUCGCGGGCGGAUAGCAUGCUCUGA